rnacentral:lncRNA from 10 species
AUUUUUAGUAGACGGGGUUUCACCCUGUGGGUGAGGCUGGUCUCGAACUCCUGACCUCAAGUGAUUUGCCCUCCUUGGCCACCCAAAGUGCUGGGAUUACAGGCGUGAGCCACCAUGCUUGGCCCCCAUAAUGUUACUGGGGAUCUUUCUUUUCUGCUUUGCAAAGUGUAUAAAUUCCAUCCUCAAAGUAGCCUCAUGGUCCAUGAGGGCUGCUGGCUAGCCAACCAUCACAGCAGGAAGCAGAUGUUGGGAGCACAGCAGGGCUCAUUUCCAGUUGUCCCCUCUUAUGGAGCUUUCCAGAUGACCCACUCAAUUAAUUCUUCUUACAUUUCAUUGCUACCACUAUUUACAAGGUAGGCUAGGUACAGUGUCCCUCAGAAUAAAAUCAGAGCUCAUUUCCUGCGGAACACAGCUGGGUUAUCUGCAUUGUCUGCCUCAGGCCAGCACCUGUAAAUACAGCUGGUGGAGAGGGGCAGUGGCUGAUUCUUCUGGGUGGCAAAUUUUAAAAUAUAUGCCAAGAGUGAUUCAAAUAUUCAUUUCCUCUCAUGUAGUCUCAAGUGUGUGACUUUAUGUUUGGGAAACCCAAAGAAAGGUGGAGAAGCACAUGCAUGAAGAUAUCCAUUGCCCCCUGAUUGUUAAGCAUGACAAGUCAGAAACAACUGAAAUUUCCAACAGUGGGAAAAACACAAGCAUGCUAUGUUCUGAAAUUCACUUGGUGGAAUGUUCCGUCAGUCACUGUGAUAUGGUUUGGCUGUGUCCCCACCCAAAUCUCAUCUUGAAUUGUAGCUCCCAUAAUUCCCUUGUGUUGUGGGAGGGACCCAGUGGGAGAUAAAUGAAUCAUGGGGGCGGUUUCCCCCAUACUGUUCUCGUGGUAGUGAAUAAGGAUCAUGAGAUCUGAUGGUUUAAUAUGGGGAAACCCCUGUCUCUUCGCUGUCAUUCUUCUCAUGUCUGCCACCAUGUGAGACGUGCCUUUCGCCUUCCAUCAUGAUUGUGAGGCCUCCCCAGCCACAUGGAACUGUGAGUCGGUUAAAUCUCUUUCUUUUGUAAAUUGCCCAGUCUCCAGUAUGUCUUUAUAGCAGCAUGAAAACUGACUAAUACACACUACACACUGUAAAUGUUAGUCAUGGAGGAUGUGUACCAACAUGGAAGAGUGUUUACAAUGUAUCUUUAGAGAAAAGAUGGACUAUCCAAGUAUGCAUACUGGAAUUAUCAUUAGAUUACCAUACAUCUGGGUGAGGAGCAGAACAGAGACAUAAGUAACAGCAACCGUGAACCUCAGAGGCAGCCAAGGGAAAUGUUCCUCCCAUAUGGAAAGUCAGAAGCUGCCAGAGAGGCAAGUGGAGCAUGCAAGACAACUGAUGGCAUAGUCUCAGAACUGACCAUGAAUACUGCUCUCCACUUUCCAUUGACCAAAGCAAGUCCAACGUUGUGGGAAAGGGUCCCUCACCCACAGUGGGAGGUGAGGGGUGUGGACACUUGCCACUUGCUGAUUGAUGACCAAAAUAUCCCAGGCUGGAGUGCAAUGGCACCAUCGCGGCUCACUGCAACCUCCACCUCCUGGGUUCAAGCGAUUCUCCUGCCUCAGCCUCCCGAGUAGCUGGGAUUACAGGUGCCCACCACCACGCCCAGCUAAUUUGUGUAUUUUUAGUAGAGACGGGUUUCACCAUGCUGGCCUCGAACUCCUGACUUCAGGUGAUCCACCUGCCUCGGCCUCCCAAAGUGCCGGGAUUACAGGUGUGAGCCACUGUGCCUGGCAUCCUUCUUUUUUUCUUCUGAAAACAACACUAUAAUGGCCAUCCUCUCCUGGUAUAUAAAUCUCUGCACACAUACUUGAGUGAUUUAAGAAUUAAUUGCCAGCCUCAGGAUGGCCCCCAAUGAUCCUUGCUUCCGUAUUCAUAACCAGCAUAGUCUCCCUUCCCAGUAAAUCAGGGAGACUGCAUGUGGCCAGUAAAUUCCAGCAGAGGUAGAUGGUGUGUGACGUCUAAGGCUGGGUCAUAAAGCACACUGUGGCUUCAGACUUUCCCUUCUGGACUGCUCAUUUUAGGGGAAGCCAGCCACCAUGUCAUAAGGACAAAGCAGCCCUGAGGAGAACCAAUCCCUUGGGGAGGAACUCGGCCCCCAGUCAGCAGCCAAUACCAACUUGCCCAUGUGUGAGUUAGUCACCUUGAAAGUGGAUCUGCUGUCCCAGCCAAGCCUUCAGAUGAGACCACAGCUCUGGCCAACACCUGACUGCAGCCUCAUGAGAGACCCAGAGAACCAUCCUGUUGAGUCUCUCUUGAAUUCUUGGCCCAUAGAAAUUGCUAGUGAUAGUAAAUUAUUCUUGUUUUUUAAACCACUAAGUUUUAGGUUAAUUUAUUACACAGCAGGAAUGAUAACUUAAAUGGUGACUAUUUUGGUCAAAAGAGGCCAGGCUCUGCUACAGUAUCAAAUAAACCACACUUGAUGGCUAAUACAAUAAGGUUUAUUUCAUACUCACUUACACCUGAUGUGGGUAGGAGGGCUCUCCUGCUUGGCACGCAAGUCCCAGGGAUGCAGAGUAUUUUCACCUAGAAGCAGGUCACUUCUUCUCACAUUCAGGUGGUGAGAAAGCUGUGUUAUCACACCCAGGAGCAUGGAGCCAAGAAACAUAGUUUAGUUGUAUGCCCCAGAAUAUAACUAAAUAAACGUUUAGUAUUGCCUCUGCCACAGUGAAUCAAGAGAAAUGAAAGUGACUACUAUGUAUUUGAAAAGUAAAAAUUCCCAGAAGUACAGAAAUGCAUAUUGAAACUGAUUCAUGAUUUUUCACUUCCUGUGGAAUAAACAAAACUCCCUUUUUGAAAUCUGAGAAUAUCCAAACUUCCACAAUUGCUACAGGAUAAACACUUCCAUAUACAGCUGGUAGGAAUAAGAAUAGGCUUGACUUUUCCAGAUGAUAAAGUUGCAAGAUUUAUCCACAGCCUUUAAAAUAUUUAUAUUCCUUGACCCAAAUAAUUUUGCUUCUGGGAAUCUAUUAUAGGGAGAUAUAUAUAUAUAUAUAUAUAUAUAUAUUUUUUUUUUUUUUUUUUUUUUUGAGACGGAGUCUUGCAUGUCACCCAGGCU